rfam:Erinaceus europaeus cont1.579944, whole genome shotgun sequence.
CUUCCUCUUCAGUAGGACUCGGCAUCUCUGGGGCCUCAAUUCUUUAUCCCUCUGAAGUUGUUUUGGCAUUGCGGCAAUUAGCCCUCUCCUUGGGACGCUGGCCCCCUACCUCCAAGCCCU